rnacentral:rRNA from 1 species
GACGAACGCUGGCGGCGUGCCUAAUACAUGCAAGUUGAGCGCUGAAGGUUGGUACUUGUACCGACUGGAUGAGCAGCGCACGGGUGAGUAACGCGUGGGGAAUCUGCCUUUGAGCGGGGGACAACAUUUGGAAACGAAUGCUAAUACCGCAUAAAAACUUUAAACACAAGUUUUAAGUUUGAAAGAUGCAAUUGCAUCACUCAAAGAUGAUCCCGCGUUGUAUUAGCUAGUUGGUGAGGUAAAGGCUCACCAAGGCGAUGAUACAUAGCCGACCUGAGAGGGUGAUCGGCCACAUUGGGACUGAGACACGGCCCAAACGCCUACGGGAGGCAGCAGUAGGGAAUCGUCGGCAAUGGACGAAAGUCUGACCGAGCAACGCCGAGGGAGGGAAGAAGGUUUUCGGAUCGUAAAACUCUGUUGGUAGAGAAGAACGUUGGUGAGAGUGGAAAGCUCAUCAAGUGACGGUAACUACCCAGAAAGGGACGGCUAACUACGUG